rnacentral:rRNA from 1 species
AUGGGCCCGCGGCGCAUUAGCUAGUUGGUGGGUACGGCUCACCAAGGCGACGAUGCGUAGCCGACCUGAGAGGGUGAUCGGCCACACUGGGACUGAGACACGGCCCAGACUCCUACGGGAGGCAGCAGUAGGGAAUCUUCCACAAUGGGCGAAAGCCUGACGGAGCAACGCCGCGUGAGUGAUGAAGGUUUUCGGAUCGUAAAGCUCUGUUGCCAGGGAAGAACAUCCGCGGAGUAACUGCUGGCGGAUUGACGGUACCUGAUAAGAAAGCCCGGCUACUACGUGCAGCAGCCGCGGUAAUACGUAGGGGCAGCGUUGUCGGAUUAUUGGGGUAAGCGCGCGCAGGCGGUCUUUAAUCUGAGUUAAACCUGGGUCACCUGGAGGUC